AUGGCUCAGAUUGAACGCUGGCGGCAGGCCUAACACAUGCAAGUCGAGCGGCAGCACGGGUACUUGUACCUGGUGGCGAGCGGCGGACGGGUGAGUAAUGCCUAGGAAUCUGCCUGGUAGUGGGGGAUAACGUUCGGAAACGAACGCUAAUACCGCAUACGUCCUACGGGAGAAAGCAGGGGACCUUCGGGCCUUGCGCUAUCAGAUGAGCCUAGGUCGGAUUAGCUAGUUGGUGAGGUAAUGGCUCACCAAGGCGACGAUCCGUAACUGGUCUGAGAGGAUGAUCAGUCACACUGGAACUGAGACACGGUCCAGACUCCUACGGGAGGCAGCAGUGGGGAAUAUUGGACAAUGGGCGAAAGCCUGAUCCAGCCAUGCCGCGUGUGUGAAGAAGGUCUUCGGAUUGUAAAGCACUUUAAGUUGGGAGGAAGGGCAGUUACCUAAUACGUAAUUGUUUUGACGUUACCGACAGAAUAAGCACCGGCUAACUCUGUGCCAGCAGCCGCGGUAAUACAGAGGGUGCAAGCGUUAAUCGGAAUUACUGGGCGUAAAGCGCGCGUAGGUGGUUCGUUAAGUUGGAUGUGAAAUCCCCGGGCUCAACCUGGGAACUGCAUUCAAAACUGUCGAGCUAGAGUAUGGUAGAGGGUGGUGGAAUUUCCUGUGUAGCGGUGAAAUGCGUAGAUAUAGGAAGGAACACCAGUGGCGAAGGCGACCACCUGGACUGAUACUGACACUGAGGUGCGA
rnacentral:rRNA from 1 species